rnacentral:rRNA from 1 species
AUUGAACGCUGGCGGCAUGCCUUACACAUGCAAGUCGAACGGCAGCGCGGGCUUCGGCCUGGCGGCGAGUGGCGAACGGGUGAGUAAUGUAUCGGAACGUGCCCUAGAGUGGGGGAUAACUAGUCGAAAGAUUGGCUAAUACCGCAUACGAUCUAAGGAUGAAAGCGGGGGAUCGCAAGACCUCGUGCUCAUGGAGCGGCCGAUAUCUGAUUAGCUAGUUGGUGGGGUAAAGGCCUACCAAGGCGACGAUCAGUAGCUGGUCUGAGAGGACGACCAGCCACACUGGGACUGAGACACGGCCCAGACUACUACGGGAGGCAGCAGUGGGGAAUUUUGGACAAUGGGGGCAACCCUGAUCCAGCAAUGCCGCGUGUGUGAAGAAGGCCUUCGGGUUGUAAAGCACUUUUGUCCGGAAAGAAAUUGCCUGAGCUAAUACCUUGGGUAGAUGACGGUACCGGAAGAAUAAGCACCGGCUAACUACGUGCCAGCCGCCGCUGUAA